ensembl:lncRNA ALOX12P2 arachidonate 12-lipoxygenase pseudogene 2
GACAAUUCCAGGAGGAACUGGCUUCCAUGGACAAGGAGAUUGAGGUCCGGAAUGCAGUCCUGGACCUGCCCUUUUUCCACCAAUAUAUACAUCCCUAAACAACAUGACUUAGUUUUGAAACACUGAGCAGCAAGCACCAAUCUAGAAGAAUAAGGAAAGGGUGAUGUUACCACUGUUUGAGGAAGGCUCAGGAGGAGAAGAUAAACUGAACAGCCUCUCGGUCAUUGUCUGGCUUCAGCUUCCCUAAGCAUUUAUAAGAGCUUUUUAUGGGAAAAUCAUUGAGUAAGAUGAUGAGUAACACUGGGAAUCACUGGGCUCAGCACAGGUGAGACAUACGGUAACGCUGGAGAAUGGGCCGAGUUUUAGAUGUUUGGCCAGGAUAUAGUCAGAAGGAGAUGGCUGUUGUGUAUAUUCUGCUCAUCACGACUUCUCCUCCACUUCCCAGAAGAGGUCAAGGCAGAACAUUUCUGGAUGACACCCACAGUAGAUCAAGCAUCAGAGCACUCGAGGAAUGAGCAG